rnacentral:rRNA from 1 species
ACCUCCCACCCGUGUUUACUGUACCUUAGUUGCUUCGGCGGGCCCGCCAUUCAUGGCCGCCGGGGGCUCUCAGCCCCGGGCCCGCGCCCGCCGGAGACACCACGAACUCUGUCUGAUCUAGUGAAGUCUGAGUUGAUUGUAUCGCAAUCAGUUAAAACUUUCAACAAUGGAUCUCUUGGUUCCGGCAUCGAUGAAGAACGCAGCGAAAUGCGAUAACUAGUGUGAAUUGCAGAAUUCCGUGAAUCAUCGAGUCUUUGAACGCACAUUGCGCCCCCUGGUAUUCCGGGGGGCAUGCCUGUCCGAGCGUCAUUGCUGCCCAUCAAGCACGGCUUGUGUGUUGGGUCGUCGUCCCCUCUCCGGGGGGGACGGGCCCCAAAGGCAGCGGCGGCACCGCGUCCGAUCCUCGAGCGUAUGGGGCUUUGUCACCCGCUCUGUAGGCCCGGCCGGCGCUUGCCGAACGCAAAUCAAUCUUUUCCAGGUUGACCUCGGAUCAGGUAGGGAUACCCGCUGAACUUAAGCAUAU